rnacentral:misc_RNA from 1 species
AACGGUCUAUACCUGCGGUACCUGCGGAGGGAUCAUUAUUGAAACUAUGUCGCUCUCGGUGGGGUUGUAGCUGGCUCUCGCAGCAUGUGCACGCUUCCCGAGGUUUCAUUUUCAUCCACCUGUGCACCUCUUGUAGGCUCUGAGAAAACAUUCAGUGAAAACCUGGAUGGUGGGGAUUGCGGGGUGCCCGAGCAUCUGCUCUCCUCUGUGUCUCUGAGGCUAUGUUUUUGUAUAUACCCC